rnacentral:rRNA from 1 species
UACGUAGGGGGCUAGCGUUGUCCGGAAUCAUUGGGCGUAAAGAGCGUGUAGGCGGCCAGGUAGGUCCGUUGUGAAAACUCGAGGCUCAACCUCGAGACGUCGGCGGAAACCCUCUGGCUAGAGUCCGGAAGAGGAGACGAGUACUUCUGGUGUAGCGGUGGAAUGCGCAGAUAUCAGGAGAACACCCGGUGGCGAAGGCGGUCUCUCG